rnacentral:lncRNA from 1 species
GUGUAUGUUGGUUAAUGUGCGCGUGUAUGUACCCCAUGAUCUAGACCAUUCAUCCUGCUUACUUUUUAUUAAUUAAUCAGAUCAAAGGGGCGUGGUUGGUCCACUUUUUUUUCCAAUUGAGUUAUUUUAUUUAUUUGUAUGAGCAUGUUCAUUAUCAUCCAAAGGCGCUUAUCCCAAUGGAAAGGGGCUAGGCAUGUGAGCUCAGGGUCAGGGGUUCAACCCCUAGCGCCCUCAUUGUUCUUUUUCCUUCUUUU